rnacentral:piRNA from 1 species
UGCUUGCAGAGUACUUAGCGCUGUGCAGU